CUAAAGUCACCAUCCAGGGACGCCUGGGUGGCUUAGUCGUUAAGCGUCUGCUUUCGGCUCAGGUCAUGAUCCCAGGGUCCUGGGAUCGAGCCCCACAUCAGGCUCCCUGCUCUGCGGGAAGCCUGCUUCUCCCUCUCCCACUCCCCCUGCUUGUGUUCCCUCUCUCGCUGUGUCUCUCUCUGUCAAAUAAAUAAAUAAAAUCUUUUAAAUAAAUAAAUAAAGUCACCAUCCCUUGCCAAGAUGAUUGCAUAGUGAUUGAGACACAGGUUAAAAGAAAAUAAAUUGUAACUUAAGACUGAGCCAUUGUAAGUGGGCUAAAAUUUGUAGAACUCUUAGCACAGUGCCUGGCACCUAGUAAACACAAUUUAAAUGUUUCGUAAAUAAAGAAAAUAUAGCCAGGUGGGUGUGGGAGGAGACCUAGUUAGAAGCAACCAUGCUGGGGUGCCAAUUGAACUUCUUUUCACAUCCUCCCCCCACAACUGGACUUAGAAAAACCAUUUCAGGGCGCCUGGGUGGCUCAGUUGGUUGAGCGACUGCCUUCGGCUCAGGUCAUGAUCCUGGAGUCCCUGGAUCGAGUCCCGCAUCGGGCUCCCUGCUCGGCGGGGAGCCUGCUUCUGCCUCUGACCCUCCCCCCUCUCAUGUGCUCUCUCUCUCUCUCAUUCUCUCUGUCUCAAAUAAAUAAAUAAAUCUUUAAAAAAAAAAAAAAGAAAAACCAUUUCAUUGCUGAACCUCAGUUUCCUGUCUGUUAAGUAAAAAUUACAACAAUAACUAACUCAAGAGGAUUGUUUUAAGAGCCAAAGAGACAGUGAGAUAUUAGGGAUGAAAAUAUGUCAUUUAUAAGCUAUAAAGCACUGUAAAAACAUCAUUACUAUUUCUAAUAUCCCAAUUCGGAAUUACAAGCGAAAGGACCGGAGAGAUGUCCUGAGGCAGAGAAUCAGAUUUCUGGCACCGGUGUCCAGGAUUGUCUGCCCUUCUCCCAACCCCCUCCCUGGCACAGACCCACCCCUAUCUGCAGGCCCAGCCAAGUAGGGAGUAGAGGAGGGCCCCCAGUACCCAGAAUUGGAACACAGAGUGCUCUCUCUCCCUCGCUUGCAGAAUCAAGGCUGUACAGUUCUUUUUUUUUUUUUUUAAGAUUUUAUUUAUUUAUUUAUUGGAGAGCGAGCGAGAGAGAAACAGCAUGAGAGAGGAGAGGGUCAGAGGGAGAAGCAGGCUCCCCGCUGAGCGGGGAGCCCGAUGUGGGACUCGAUCCCAGGACCCUGGGAUCAUGACCUGAGCCGAAGGCAGUCGCCCAACCAGCUGAGCCACCCAGGCGCCCAAGGCUGUACAGAGUUCUUGAGUUAAGUGAGCACAUCUAGUGUGCCAGAUUGUCUGCAUUCGGGAUUAGACAGACUUUUGGGGACUGCCCUGAGAACCUGAUGACCCAACGUAACCUCAUUUCUCUGCACACUGGCAUUGUGAGUUUUACACAACUGGCUUUAUAAACACACUUUGGAAUACAGAGCCGACUCUAACAGUGGGGACUGCUUGUAUAGAGCCAAAUGGAACAGCUUGAACUAUGGAUUCAAUCCAGGGAGAAAACCAAAGUGACUCAACAAGAAUACAUGAAAGAUAAGAUUCCAGGGAUGCCGUGUGUAGGAAUCAGCUGCCACGAGGAGUAAAAAGCAAUAUAAAACCAGCAAGGAAAGGUGCAACCAAAAGCAAGCUCCACACCCAGCAUGGAGCCCAACAUGGGGCUCAAACCCACGACCCUGAAAUCAAGACCUGAGCUGAGAUGGAGUCAGACGCUUAACCGACUGAGCCACCCAGGUGCCCCUAAUGUGAGAAAUUAAUUGACAUCAGCUAUUAUUUUCUUUUCAUUCCCUGUAACUCUAGCAGAUUUAUUUUAAAGUAUACCCAACAUGGGGCUCAAACCCGCAAUCCCAAGAUGAGUUGCAUGCUCUACCGACUGAGCCAGCCAGAUGCUCUAAGAAGAUAUCAUUUUCUCUAAUUUGAAGAACAGAAAAAUCGUGGGAAAGGACAAUGGCAUGCUCAAAGCAGAUUUAGCCAAAGAGAUUUUAAUCUACCUGCAACUGUGUUCUCACGACAGGUCACUCUAAAGCCCUCCCUUCUCAUAUCCCUUUUUCUCUCGACUGAUGGAGAAGAGAAGAGCCCAGUCCUCUUGACAGUGUUCCAGUUGUCUGUCUCUCAUAUCUCCAAAUAUUUGGGAUAUUUGGGACAGCAGAGACUAUACUGUUUCAGCUCAGCCACUGACUUGUUGGAUGAGUAUUUAAAAUUAAGGCUGCUCAGCCCUAAGGUAGGGAAAGGCUACAGCCACGGGACUUGAGCCAAAUCUCUAAAAACAUCAUUCUGAAAUAGGUGGAGAAAUACAAACUCGAUGAGAAUGGAUAUGAUCUGCCACACCAGAGUUCUGAUUGAUUGGAUCCAUGUGAAUCCAGAGGACAGACUCUACUCAGGCUCAGUCCUGGUCAAAAUUUUGCCCAUGACUUGAAUGAGUACAACAGUAACGACCUGAUGAAUCUGCAGCUGACCUGAAGCCAGAGGAGACAGUGAGUAGAGAGGAUAUCAGAAUCAGAAUCCAAAGAGAGCUCAACAGGCUGGAGCAACGGGGAUAAUCCGGCAACAUGAAAGUUGACAGGGGGAAAAAGCCAAGUACACAGGUACUAGGUGAGAAGAUGGGCAUCUUGUAGCAUAUACGUAAAGGACUUAAGACUAGGUUAAUGUACAAGAACAGAGAGAUGUGCUAAGAUGAUUAAAGGCUGUAAUUAUAGAAGCAUAACGGCAACAGUAAGGGAGGUGAUUGACCUGAUCCACUUUAUACUAGUGUGGCCACAUCUACAAAUUUACUUCUCAGAUUCUAGGCACACCCUGUUGUUUUUUUUUUUCAAGAUUUUAUUCAUUUAUUUGACAGAGAGAGACACAGUGAGAGAGGGAACACAAGCAGGGGGAGUGGGAGAGGGAGAAGCAGGCCCUCCGCGGAGCAGGAAGCCCGAUGCGGGGCUCGAUCCCAGGACCCUGGGACCAUGACCUGAGCCGAAGGCAGAUGUUUAACGACUGAGCCACCCAGGUGCCCCUCUAGGCACACCCUGUAAGAAAACAAAUAUUAAGAUACAUACAGGACAGUAAAAGCACUUGAAAUCAUGUCUUAAAAGGAAUGGUCAAAGGAAUUCAGUAUUUUACCUAGAAUCAGAGAUUUUUAUCUAAAAGAAAAACAUUGAUGGUGAAAUGAUUUCUGUCUUGAAAUAUCAGGAGCUCUGACAUGCCAAUCUGGAAUGAAGCUGGGCCAUUUGGCAGGGACAUUUUGGGAGGAAGGCAUCCCUCAGAGAAUGAUAGAAUAGAUGAUGCCCUAGGUCCCUUCCAGUUCAAAGAGGCUGUGGCCUUGUCCUUCUGGCACGUCACAGGACCCCUAUGUGUCUUAUUUCCUCAUGUAUAAAAUGAUCUCUGAGGAUAACUCUGAUCUCCAAGCUCUUUUUCUGCUUGAACAGACUGUAUUUCUGUAGCUCUUUUUCUUUGAAUUUUCCCACAAGGCUGGGUACAGAUGGGAGUUAAUACAUACUUAUUUCCAGUUUACCUCGUUCCAUUAAAUGAGAGCAAUGGGAAGCUCCAAGGAAGGCUACAUGAAGAGAGAGAACCUGCUGUUACAGUUGAAUUGUGUCCCUCCAAAAUUCAUAUGCUGAAUUCCUAACCCCCCAGUACCUCAGAAUGUCUCAGAAUGUGACUGUAUUUGGAGAUAGGGUCUUAAAAGACCCUAAUUAAGUUAGAAUAGGUUAUAUGAGUGGGCCUAAUCCAAUACAAAUGGUGUCCUUAUUAAAAGAGAAAAUUAGGGGGGCACCUGGGUGGCUCAGUUGGUUAGGCGACUGCCUUCGG